rnacentral:tRNA from 1 species
GGUUAUGGCUCAGUGGUAGAGCGCUUGCCUAGCAUGUGGGAGAUCCUGGGUUUGAUCCUCAGCACCA